GGGCAGACUAGGCUGGCGGGCUAGCCCCUCGUUGUUACCGCAAACGGGCUAUAUGGCGGAGCUGAAGCCUGUGGAGAGGUGUAUGCUUGAGUCAUGGUCUUAAGCCGUACGUUGAAGCCUUGUCCUGAUUGGCUGUUGCUUUUACGAACCGGAUCAGGCCUUGAACGGAGCAGUCCUAAGUAAUUGUGAUGGUGCUUUCAGGGUAGCAGGGUGGAGGAAAGCUUAAGGGUCGCCAUGGCUGGGGCAUGCUUCCAUCUGCAGGCGUGUCUGCCU
rnacentral:SRP_RNA from 1 species